CAUGCAGUCGAGCGGACAGAAGGGAGCUUGCUCCCGGAUGUUAGCGGCGGACGGGUGAGUAACACGUGGGUAACCUGCCUGUAAGACUGGGAUAACUCCGGGAAACCGGAGCUAAUACCGGAUAGUUCCUUGAACCGCAUGGUUCAAGGAUGAAAGACGGUUUCGGCUGUCACUUACAGAUGGACCCGCGGCGCAUUAGCUAGUUGGUGAGGUAACGGCUCACCAAGGCGACGAUGCGUAGCCGACCUGAGAGGGUGAUCGGCCACACUGGGACUGAGACACGGCCCAGACUCCUACGGGAGGCAGCAGUAGGGAAUCUUCCGCAAUGGACGAAAGUCUGACGGAGCAACGCCGCGUGAGUGAUGAAGGUUUUCGGAUCGUAAAGCUCUGUUGUUAGGGAAGAACAAGUGCAAGAGUAACUGCUUGCACCUUGACGGUACCUAACCAGAAAGCCACGGCUAACUACGUGCCAGCAGCCGCGGUAAUACGUAGGUGGCAAGCGUUGUCCGGAAUUAUUGGGCGUAAAGGGCUCGCAGGCGGUUUCUUAAGUCUGAUGUGAAAGCCCCCGGCUCAACCGGGGAGGGUCAUUGGAAACUGGGAAACUUGAGUGCAGAAGAGGAGAGUGGAAUUCCACGUGUAGCGGUGAAAUGCGUAGAGAUGUGGAGGAACACCAGUGGCGAAGGCGACUCUCUGGUCUGUAACUGACGCUGAGGAGCGAAAGCGUGGGGAGCGAACAGGAUUAGAUACCCUGGUAGUCCACGCCGUAAACGAUGAGUGCUAAGUGUUAGGGGUUUCCGCCCCUUAGUGCUGCAGCUAACGCAUUAAGCACUC
rnacentral:rRNA from 1 species